CACGGCGGUGGCGACGAUGGUGUUGGUCCA
rnacentral:antisense_RNA from 1 species